GCUCACUUUUGCAAAACAUAUACUAAAAUUGGAAUAAUACAAGAAAAAUUUGCAAGGCCUUUGCGUAAGGAUGACAUGGAAAUUCAUGAAUUAACAUAAUCCAUU